ensembl:lncRNA
GGUGAUACAAUGUUUUACAUAUCUUGGAAAAAUGAAAUGGAGGUGCGCAAGAAAGUUGUGGUUGGCGGGGAGGAGGCCAAUCAGAUUUUUUUGGAUUUUCAUGACAGUGCUCAUGGAGGCCACUGUGGAACCCAAAAAAACAAAUAUUCAGUCACCCCCAGGUUUUACUGGCCUGGAAUUGGGGUUGACUUGGAUAAAUGGGUUGACCACCCACUGGAGUUAGUUGGGAUGGACUUGUGCCCUAUACCACGAAGCUCGCUGAACAUACCCAGGCUUUCUUAGGAAAACCUGGCUCGACAGAGCCGCAACUCGCAAUCAAAGUUAAGUAGUACCACGAAGUUCACUUUAGAUUCAAUUAGUUGAACCAGGUUUUCCGCUUUAGGUUCAAUGCGCGUUCACAUAAAAGGGGCGUUUCUCGCGUCAUUUGACUCACUUCUGCAAAAUGGAUCGAGCAAGAGCGGUGUAUUACACUCAAGACGAGCAAUGCAUAAUUAUGAAUUCGUACGAGGAAUUUAAACAACAAAUUACAGCCAAGGGGAACACGGUUGCCCAUAAUAAGGCUAGGGUUGCGUGCUGGCAAAAAAUAGCCGACCGUGUUAAUGCAUGUGGUGCCAGCACGCACCUACGAACAUGGGCCCAAGUGAAAAAUAAAUAUAAAAACAUAAUUCAAUGUGCAAAUAAAAAGAAAACAAAAAUUAAUACGACUGGGAGGGGGACCGCUCCACCGCCCUUCACCAUCUCGGAGGAGUUGGCUCUUGCCAACAACAAAGGUCGGCCAAUGAUGGUAGGAGUGGAUGGGGGGAUGUCGUCUGACCCCACUGCCUCGACAUCGAACCCGUUUGUAACGAUUGAAGGUACAAACAUUGUUUUGGAGAAGCCGCCGACAAUUAAUCUCCAAUCAGAGGAAACACUGUCGGCCUGUGACUCCAGGGCGACUAUGGAGAGGGAAAUGGCAUUGGAUGAGCCAUCCACCUCAACCUCAACCUCCUCAAGGCCUUCUCGAGGGACAGACAAGAUUGGAACAGACACUAUAAGGGCGCUGUACAAGCGCAACUUGGAGCUGGACAACGACAUCAAAGUCUUGGUGAAAAAAAGAUUGAAGAUCGAGAUCCAGCUCCUCGAGAAGCAACUGCAUGGCGAUGCGACGGCUAAUAAAUAAAAUAAUUGAACAAGAGCAAA